GCUGCACACAGCAGCAAUUGGUGCUGCUGUGCAGCAGGAGUUGGUGCUGCUGUGCAGCAGCACUUGCUGCUGCACACAGCAGCAGUUGGUGCUGCUGUGCAGCAGGAGUUGGUGCUGCUGUGCAGCAGCACUUGCUGCUGCACACAGCAGCAGUUGCAGCGCAGCAGCAACAUGU